UACGUAGGGCGCAAGCGUUAUCCGGAAUUAUUGGGCGUAAAGAGCUCGUAGGCGGUUUGUCGCGUCUGCCGUGAAAGUCCGGGGCUCAACUCCGGGAUGUGCAUAGGAUACUGGAAGGCUAGAGACUGGUAGAGGCGAGCGGAAUUCCUGGUGUAGCGGUGGAAUGCGUAGAUAUCAGGAAGAACACCGGUGGCGAAGGCGGCUCGCUGGGCCAGUUCUGACGCUCACUCGCACGAAAGCGUGGGGAGCAAACGG
rnacentral:rRNA from 1 species